AUUGAACGCUGGCGGCAUGCCUUACACAUGCAAGUCGAACGGUAACAGGUCUUCGGAUGCUGACGAGUGGCGAACGGGUGAGUAAUACAUCGGAACGUGCCUAGUAGUGGGGGAUAACUACUCGAAAGAGUGGCUAAUACCGCAUGAGAUCUACGGAUGAAAGCAGGGGAUCGCAAGACCUUGUGCUACUAGAGCGGCCGAUGGCAGAUUAGGUAGUUGGUGGGAUAAAAGCUUACCAAGCCGACGAUCUGUAGCUGGUCUGAGAGGGCGAUCAGCCACACUGGGACUGAGACACGGCCCAGACUCCUACGGGAGGCAGCAGUGGGGAAUUUUGGACAAUGGGCGAAAACCUGAUCCAGCAAUGCCGCGUGCAGGAUGAAGGCCUUCGGGUUGUAAACUGCUUUUGUACGGAACGAAAAGCCCCGGGUUAAUACCCUGGGGUCAUGACGGUACCGUAAGAAUAAGCACCGGCUAACUACGUGCCAGCCGCCGCGGUAA
rnacentral:rRNA from 1 species